rnacentral:rRNA from 1 species
AUGAAGCAGCUUGCAUUGGUUGAGCUUUUGGACAACCUUAGGGAAAUGAUAACGAAAUUGUUAGAGAAAAGGAGAGCCGUUGCCGGUGCGCUUCUAGGUUACAUACUACCUAGUGUGAUAAAGGAGUUGAAUUUGAAAAGCAAGGGGCUGCAUUAUUUGGAAGCAAGAGCAUCGCCAAAUAUAGCUGAGAUUUCAGGAAAUGGAUGGAGGCACACCGUUAACUUGGAGAAAAAUGAGUGCUCUUGUAGGAGAUGGCGGAUUUGUGUGGCAAGGUUCAAAGCGGCAUAUGAGGGAAUUCUCAUGCCAAUUAGGGGCAGGUCCCAAUGGCCCAAGGUAAAUCCUGGAUUUGAUAUGAUCCCUCCCAAGCUUACCAAGAGUGCUGGACGUCCAAGAACUAGGAGGAUAAAGAAUGACACCGAAGGUGGAACCGGCAGAAAACAUAAAUGCAAAAGGUGUGGAGCAUUAGGUCAUCUUUGGAAGACAUGCAAGGAGCCAGAGAUUGAAAGUGACGCGGACCGAGAUGCUACUCCUCCUCCACAAUAA